rfam:Pan troglodytes isolate Yerkes chimp pedigree #C0471 (Clint) chromosome 10, whole genome shotgun sequence.
GCCAGGUGUGGUGGUGUGUGCCUGUAAUCCCAGCUACUUGGGAGGCUGAGGCAGGAGAAUUGCUUGAACCCAGGAGGCGGAGGUUGCAGUGAGCCAAGAUUGUACCACUGCACUCCAGCCUGGGCAACAAAGCAAGACUCUGUCUCAA